ACUCCUACGGGAGGCAGCAGUGGGGAAUAUUGCACAAUGGGGGAAACCCUGAUGCAGCCAUGCCGCGUGUGUGAAGAAGGCCUUCGGGUUGUAAAGCACUUUCAGUAGGGAGGAAGGUAGUGUAGUUAACACCUGCACUAUUUGACGUUACCUACAGAAGAAGCACCGGCUAACUCCGUGCCAGCAGUCCGCGGUAAUACGGAGGGUGCGAGCGUUAAUCGGAAUUACUGGGCGUAAAGCGCAUGCAGGCGGCCUGUUAAGUCAGAUGUGAAAGCCCGGGGCUUAACCUCGGAAUUGCAUUUGAAACUGGCAGGCUAGAGUCUUGUAGAGGGGGGUAGAAUUUCAGGUGUAGCGGUGAAAUGCGUAGAGAUCUGAAGGAAUACCAGUGGCGAAGGCGGCCCCCUGGACAAAGACUGACGCUCAGAUGCGAAAGCGUGGGGAGCAAACAGGAUUAGAUACCCUGGUAGGAUAGCG
rnacentral:rRNA from 1 species